AGCAGUCGCCACGGGAAUACAGAGGGUGCGAGCGUUAAUCGGAUUUACUGGGCGUAAAGCGUGCGUAGGCGGCUUCUUAAGUCGGAUGUGAAAUCCCUGAGCUUAACUUAGGAAUUGCAUUCGAUACUGGGAAGCUAGAGUAUGGGAGAGGAUGGUAGAAUUCCAGGUGUAGCGGUGAAAUGCGUAGAGAUCUGGAGGAAUACCGAUGGCGAAGGCAGCCAUCUGGCCUAAUACUGACGCUGAGGUACGAAAGCAUGGGGAGCAAACAGGAUUAGAUACCCCGGUAGUCCCUGUCUCUUAUAC
rnacentral:rRNA from 1 species